rnacentral:ncRNA from 1 species
GAGUUUGAUCAUGGCUCAGAUUGAACGCUGGCGGCAGGCCUAACACAUGCAAGUCGAGCGGUAACAGGAGAAGCUUGCUUCUCGCUGACGAGCGGCGGACGGGUGAGUAAUGUAUGGGGAUCUGCCCGAUAGAGGGGGAUAACCACUGGAAACGGUGGCUAAUACCGCAUAAUCUCUAAGGAGCAAAGCAGGGGAACUUCGGUCCUUGCGCUAUCGGAUGAACCCAUAUGGGAUUAGCUAGUAGGUGAGGUAAUGGCUCACCUAGGCGACGAUCCCUAGCUGGUCUGAGAGGAUGAUCAGCCACACUGGGACUGAGACACGGCCCAGACUCCUACGGGAGGCAGCAGUGGGGAAUAUUGCACAAUGGGCGCAAGCCUGAUGCAGCCAUGCCGCGUGUAUGAAGAAGGCCUUAUGGCUGUAAAGUACUCCUCAGCCCGAAGUACUGCGUUGACGCUAAUAUCAUCUCCGGAACGACCUUGCCGAGCGAUCAACCUUUGGCUUUCUCCUUGCCAUUAAACCAGGUCAUUCGGACAUUGCAAAAAC